CUUCCAUAUUCUACUUCUUUAUUUUUACAAAAAUUUUAAAGUUAGAAUUUGAGGAGAGUUGGCUAUUCUAUCAAGAAGGAGUUUUCAUACUUAGCCAAGUUUUGUGCAAGUCUUAAGGUGUUGGUGAUAUGUCUCCGCCAAGACAAUAGUUUGGAGGGACAUUUGGAGAGCAAGAGCUUCUUUCUUUUGUGUAUUUUUUGUAUAGCCAAGGGCUUUAACUGUAUUGAGCUAGGCUCGUUUUAUUAUAACCAAGCAAUGACUUGGAAAUAUGUAAACCUAUAGGGCAUAUGAUUACCUGUUUAGUUUCAGUUCUCUUAUUAUUAUAACACAUGCUGUAGAUUCAGGAUGAACAAUUUGUGAAUGUAUAUCGCAUGUGUUAUCUUUUGUAUACAAACUUUGAUGAAUAAAAGCAUAUUAUUU